GUUGUAUGUAUAGUACAAUCAGGCACUAUAACUAUUCAUGUGGAAAUGAGGCCAAACCCAGAAGCACAGAACAGUUGGACAAAAGGAAGUCAUGAUGAAAUUCCAGUUGUGGGGGAGGAAGAUGGGGACCUGGGAAAUGGUAAGGUAAUAAAGAAAAACACUGUACAAGGUGUGAAACUCUUAGUGAGGAGAUUAGGAAAUAGAAAUGGAAGGAGAAAGAAAACAGGUAAAAGCAUAGUGGGGAAAAACAUAGGGAAAAGCUAUCCAUACAUGCAGUCGAAGUAUUCUGUAUACAUCAAAAAGAUAUUAAAUAACCCGUAAAAGAAAACUGAUAGAAGAAAGACUAUUCUGUAGAAAAUAAUAUGCCAAACAAAUACUGUACUCCUUUAAAAGGCAGGCUUUGGCGGUAUAAGCAGUGUUAGCUUGGAUACUAGGUGUUUUUUUUCGUGACUUGCCUUUUACAGAUACAGCUAAAAAGCAUACUUCUAGGUCUAAUUAGUAUCCUAUGCUUCCUAAUACUAGGCCAUUGAUGUUUAUUCAAAAUCUCUAGAAAAUCAGGUGUCGUGUUAUGUAUUCAAAAUUCCCAAUUAGUAUAUUUUGUGUGGUUCUGUCAUGUGCUGUUUUUUAGUGCAGUUGUUUUACAGUGCUCGGAUAAAUAUAUACUGUAUAGCUCUAAAGUAAACAUCCGAGUUCAAGGGACAGUGAUAGGUCAAACUAAUAAUAAUAGGCCACCUAACUUCAGAAGUAGGAGUGUGUUUGGCACUGUAAUACAGAACUUAUUUAUAGGAUGGUGUGUGGUGAAGGCAGCUUUUAAGACUUUUGAACUUAUAAUCUAAUGUGAAAUGACUUUUGGUCACUUACUCUGUGAACUUUCAUUUUACUACUGUAUUUUAUGAUGUGGAACAGAUUUGUGAAGAUAUUAUUUCUGUAACUUGAUAAUACUGCUUUAGAGUAAUAGUAAAAUCGUGUGCUGCAGGACAGUAUGAAGGUAUAAUUCUGAUUAAUAAGCUAAUGCUAUUUUAUAAAAAUGUCUGUUUAGGUUUUGGUUCUUAAAAUAAUACAUUUUCAGUUUUGUGUAAAGACCAAUAAGUGUUGUAGGAAAGCUCAAGAAGUGUUAACUGAAAGAGCUAUUUUGCAAGCUGCACUAAAAA